UACGGAGGAUCCAAGCGUUAUCCGGAAUCAUUGGGUUUAAAGGGUCCGUAGGCGGUUUAGUAAGUCAGUGGUGAAAUCUCCCCGCUCAACGGGGAAACUGCCAUUGAUACUGCUGGGCUUGAAUUAUUGGGAAGUAACUAGAAUAUGUAGUGUAGCGGUGAAAUGCUUAGAGAUUACAUGGAAUACCGAUUGCGAAGGCAGGUUACUACCAAUACAUUGACGCUGAUGGACGAAAGCGUGGGGAGCGAACAGGA
rnacentral:rRNA from 1 species